rnacentral:ncRNA from 2 species
UACAGAGGGUGCGAGCGUUAAUCGGAAUUACUGGGCGUAAAGCGUGCGUAGACGGCUAUCUAAGUCGGGUGUGAAAGCCCCGGGCUCAACCUGGGAAUUGCAUUCGAGACUGAAUAGCUAGGGUACGGUAGAGGGAAGCGGAAUUUCCGGUGUAGCGGUGAAAUGCGUAGAUAUCGGAAGGAACAUCAGUGGCGAAAGCGGCUUCCUGGACCAGUACCGACGUUCAGGCACGAAAGCGUGGGGAGCAAACAGG